rnacentral:ncRNA from 1 species
GUCAACGGGCUAGAAAACCCGUAAGGCGUAAGGAAGCUGAUUGGCGGGAUCCCUCACGGGUGCACCGCCGACCGGCCUUGAUCUUCUGAGAAGGGUUCGAGUGAGAGCAUGCCUGUCGGGACCAGAAAGAUGGUGAACUAUGCCUGAGCGGGGCGAAGCCAGAGGAAACUCUGGUGGAG